rnacentral:rRNA from 1 species
UGGUGUGGGGACACGUUUUAAAGGACGCUAUCCGAUCGUCUCGGGAGAAAGCAGGGGACCUUCGGGCCUUGCGCUAUCAGAUGAGCCUAGGUCGGAUUAGCUAGUUGGUUGAGGUAAUGGCUCACCAAGGCGACGAUCCGUAACUGGUCUGAGAGGAUGAUCAGUCACACUGGAACUGAGACACGGUCCAGACUCCUACGGGAGGCAGCAGUGGGGAAUAUUGGACAAUGGGCGAAAGCCUGAUCCAGCCAUGCCGCGUGUGUGAAGAAGGUCUUCGGAUUGUAAAGCACUUUAAGUUGGGAGGAAGGGUUGUAGAUUAAUACUCUGCAAUUUUGACGUUACCGACAGAAUAAGCACCGGCUUACUCUGUGCCAGCAGCCGCGGUAAUACAGAGGGUGCAAAGCCGUUAUUCGGAAAUUACUGGGCCGUAAAGCGCCUCGUAGGUGGUUCGUUAAGUUGGAUGUGAAAAUCCCCCGGGCUCAAACUUGGGAACUGCAUUCCAAAACUUGGCAAGCUAUAAUGUUGGUAUAAGGGUGGGUGGAAAUUUCCUUGUUAUACCGGUGAAACUCCGUAAAUUUUUGGAAGGGAACNCCC